GGCGAGCUUGGAAGGGGGCCGGGCUUCCGAACGCGGCGUCAGGGCUCUGCCCCCUCCCCUCAUUUCUGGGGUAGGAUUUAGUCGCGUGGGUGUGUCUGUCUACCGAGUCUGCAGCUCCUGGCCGACUCCUCUAUUCCUACCUCCUGUUGCAGCUAUUUCUUCAAUGUAUUGAACACCAGAUGUAUGCAUAACAACUGCCUAAAAUUAGGAGGAGACACAAGUGCAACUUUUAAGACAAGGAAACCUGAAACUUAAGCCAUUUCAAGUGAGGUGACAGACCUUCCAAGAGAAUAACAGCAUCACACAACAGCCACUGAUUUAAUGAUUUACCAGAAAUUCUCAAUUGGGAGAAGAAAUGUUAAUGGAGGAUUUCCUGAGGACUAUGUACUCUCUUCUGGUGAUGUCAAUUUUAUUUUUAGAUUAAAGAAAAAUGAUCACGAAUCUGUCUUUAGAUAGUCUUGUUUUGGCUCCUGCUGCGGUUACUUUUACUGAACUGCUGUUUAGGAUCAUAUGAACAGCAUAAGUCUAGAGAUGGGAGGAGAAGCAGCCUCAGGAACCCCGCGACUGCUUUUGCUGUGGAGGUGCAACUGGGAACACCGCUCACUCAUCACACUGUGUUCUCUUGACGAGAGCCUGCAGAAAUUCAUUACCACAAAUGACUCUGCUUCUCUUGAGCAACAGUUCGUUUCAUAAGCUUGUGAGCAUUAUGUAAUUGAAUGUGCUUCCUUCUGUCCUUGUGUUGGUACUUUAAAAAUUCAGAGGCUUAUUUAUGGCAAAUGCCCAGACUCUACAGUGUAUACUUUGUGAAUUACUCUUACCCUGACUUCUCAUUUUGUCUACUUCUAGUUUCCCUUUGGCUGGUUAUGCCACCUCCUUUAUAUCUUAUUAUACUUUGUGUAUUUUGUUAAGCCAUCUUCAAUCUUUUCUGAAUAGAAGGAAUAAAGGAAAACAUAAGACAAUCAUUCAUUUUAUAAGUCAUAAAGAUUAGUUUUAAGAUAACGAUG